rnacentral:rRNA from 1 species
UACGUAGGGUGCGAGCGUUAAUCGGAAUUACUGGGCGUAAAGUGUGCGCAGGCGGCGCCGCAAGUCGAGUGUGAAAGCCCCGAGCUUAACUUGGGAAUUGCGCUCGAAACUAUGGUGCUGGAGUGUGGCAGAGGAAGGUGGAAUUCCACGUGUAGCGGUGAAAUGCGUAGAUAUCGGAAGGAACACCAGUGGCGAAAGCGGCUUCCUGGUCCGACACCGACGUUCAGGCACGAAAGCGUGGGGAGCAAACAGG